GCUUACGGCCAUACCACCCUGAACACGCCCUCUCGAUCUCGGAAGCUAAGCAGGGUCGGGCCUGGUUAGUACUUGGAUGGGAGACCGCCUGGGAAUACCAGGUGCUGUAAGCU
rnacentral:rRNA from 1 species